rfam:Triticum aestivum genome assembly, contig: Triticum_aestivum_CS42_TGACv1_scaffold_289038_4AL
CAGCUACUCUUCCGUUCGGAAUUACUUGUCGCAGAAAUAGAUGUAUCUAGACAUAUUUUAGUUCUAGAUACAUCCAUUUUUAAGACAAGUAAUUCCGAACGGAGAGAGUAGCUA